rnacentral:rRNA from 1 species
AACGAACGCUGGCGGCAGGCUUAACACAUGCAAGUCGAACGCACCUUUCGGGGUGAGUGGCGGACGGGUGAGUAACGCGUGGGAAUCAACCCUUCUCUACGGGAUAGCUCCGUUAAACAGGAAUUAAUACCGUAUACGUCCAGAGGGGGAAAGAUGUAUCGGGGAAGGAUGGGCCCGCGUUAGAUUAGCUAGUUGGGGGGGGAAAGGCAUACCAAGGCGACGAUCCAUAGCUGGUCGAAGAGGAUGAUCAGUCACAUUGGGACUGAGACCCGGACCAAACUCGUACGGGAGGCAGCAGUGGGGAAUAUUGGAGAAUGGGGGCAAGCCUGAUCCAGCCAUGCCGCGUGAGUGAUGCAGGCCGUAGGGUUGUAAAGCUGUUUCAGUGGGGACGAUAAUGACGGUACCCACAGAAGAAGCCCCGGCUAACUUCGUG